rnacentral:rRNA from 1 species
UACGGGGGGGGCAAGCGUUGUUCGGAAUUACUGGGCGUAAAGGGCUCGUAGGCGGCCAACUAAGUCAGACGUGAAAUCCCUCGGCUUAACCGGGGAACUGCGUCUGAUACUGGAUGGCUUGAGUUUGGGAGAGGGAUGCGGGAUUCCAGGUGUAGCGGUGAAAUGCGUAGAUAUCUGGAGGAACACCGGUGGCGAAGGCGGCAUCCUGGACCAACACUGACGCUGAGUGAGCGAAAGCCAGGGGAGCAAACGGG